rnacentral:rRNA from 1 species
UUUCCAGGCAAAUCCGGAAAAUCAAGGCUGAGGCGUGAUGACGAGGCACUGCGGUGCUGAAGCAACAAAUGCCCUGCUUCCAGGAAAAGCCUCUAAGCAUCAGGUAACAUCAAAUCGUACCCCAAACCGACACAGGUGGUCAGGUAGAGAAUACCAAGGCGCUUGAGAGAACUCGGGUGAAGGAACUAGGCAAAAUGGUGCCGUAACUUCGGGAGAAGGCACGCUGAUAUGUAGGUGAAGUCCCUCGCGGAUGGAGCUGAAAUCAGUCGAAGAUACCAGCUGGCUGCAACUGUUUAUUAAAAACACAGCACUGUGCAAACACGAAAGUGGACGUAUACGGUGUGACGCCUGCCCGGUGCCGGAAGGUUAAUUGAUGGGGUUAGCGCAAGCGAAGCUCUUGAUCGAAGCCCCGGUAAACGGCGGCCGUAACUAUAACGGUCCUAAGGUAGCGAAAUUCCUUGUCGGGUAAGUUCCGACCUGCACGAAUGGCGUAAUGAUGGCCAGGCUGUCUCCACCCGAGACUCAGUGAAAUUGAACUCGCUGUGAAGAUGCAGUGUACCCGCGGCAAGACGGAAAGACCCCGUGAACCUUUACUAUAGCUUGACACUGAACAUUGAGCCUUGAUGUGUAGGAUAGGUGGGAGGCUUUGAAGUGUGGACGCCAGUCUGCAUGGAGCCGACCUUGAAAUACCACCCUUUAAUGUUUGAUGUUCUAACGUUGACCCGUAAUCCGGGUUGCGGACAGUGUCUGGUGGGUAGUUUGACUGGGGCGGUCUCCUCCUAAAGAGUAACGGAGGAGCACGAAGGUUGGCUAAUCCUGGUCGGACAUCAGGAGGUUAGUGCAAUGGCAUAAGCCAGCUUGACUGCGAGCGUGACGGCGCGAGCAGGUGCGAAAGCAGGUCAUAGUGAUCCGGUGGUUCUGAAUGGAAGGGCCAUCGCUCAACGGAUAAAAGGUACUCCGGGGAUAACAGGCUGAUACCGCCCAAGAGUUCAUAUCGACGGCGGUGUUUGGCACCUCGAUGUCGGCUCAUCACAUCCUGGGGCUGAAGUAGGUCCCAAGGGUAUGGCUGUUCGCCAUUUAAAGUGGUACGCGAGCUGGGUUUAGAACGUCGUGAGACAGUUCGGUCCCUAUCUGCCGUGGGCGCUGGAGAACUGAGGGGGGCUGCUCCUAGUACGAGAGGACCGGAGUGGACGCAUCACUGGUGUUCGGGUUGUCAUGCCAAUGGCACUGCCCGGUAGCUAAAUGCGGAAGAGAUAAGUGCUGAAAGCAUCUAAGCACGAAACUUGCCCCGAGAUGAGUUCUCCCUGACUCCUUGAGAGUCCUGAAGGAACGUUGAAGACGACGACGUUGAUAGGCCGGGUGUGUAAGCGCAGCGAUGCGUUGAGCUAACCGGUACUAAUGAACCGUGAGGCUUAACCUUACAACGCCGAAGCUGUU